UCCGGACCCCCGCGGGAUCCCGGACCCCGCACGGGGUCCGGAACCCCCUGUAUAAUAACCGGACCCCUCACCAAGGGAAGGAAUCGACGCCCCGCCUGGGGGUGGUCCGGAGCCGCCACGUGUCUGCGAGCACAGACACGUAUACAAGGCCACUUGGUCUCCAUAUUAAGGCUCACCUACCCACUGCAUUCAUUGCGGUAGGUAGACGUCCGCAUUGAUAUAGCAGAAGCCGAGGCGAUUCUUUGACCAGGAUGCACUAUUGAUCGCGUAUUACCAAGACGCAUAGUGGUACAGCUGGCGCCGCCCACGCCGCGCCCGUCAGUCUGCUAUGACAGUUGGAUACGACGGCUCGACUUCGCCCAUUAUGGCGCCUACACGAUAGCUUCGACAGGCUACGCCGCAAGCUACCUUGCCCCAACGGGCGCCCUGCUGAUGGGACAAGAGAAGACCCCUCUCGGUCAGAGGGUCAGCGAGGCAUGGAAGAGCAUCGGAGAAGAGAUUCUCAAUCACUAUAGCUCCUUCUCUGCAAUGUACUAUACAAUCACGUUGGGCCCACUUGUCGGGGCCUCAACGCCUAUGUACGCGCCCCCCUUGGUCUAUAAAAGGGGGGCGCUCGCUAGAAGAACAGACACGCCACGCCAGGUGAAGGCAGAGGAUAGACUCUUACUACCAAGAGCAAUACUACUCCCAGUGGAUGUAGGGUAUUACGCUCCGGCGGCCUGAACCACUCUAGAUCGUGGUGUUCUUGAGUUCUCGCCUCAGAGUUAGACUAGCCCAAUCGCCUAGUACUUCCCCGAGUACUCCCUCUCUGGGAAUAGGCGGGUGCGUUCCGCCACCCGGCUGUGGGUACCCCCAAAAAACCCGCGACACUAAGUAUUAUCCUUAUGUUGGAGUACAAAGGAAAUUCAAGAAUGUUUCGUCAAAGAUUAUCACCAUCAGUGGCUUCAAAGUGAUAUCUGGUGAGGCUGCACUCAAGAGAGCUAUUGCCCUGCAACCAGUGGCUGCUUGUAUUGAUGCAAAUGUCGACUUCCAAAAUUACAAAAGUGGUGUACUAUACGGUGAAACUUCAGGCUGGAAGGCGCUUGAUCAUUGCGUUCUUGUUGUUGGUUAUGAUAUCACACCAUGGGGCCAGGAAUAUUGGAUUUUGAAGAAUUCGCAAGGACGCUUCUUUGGAAGACUAGGUGGUUAUGUCCAUCUGGCAAGGGGUGUGUUUCCCAAAGGUGGAACGCUAGGCAUUGCCCGGCUGUGUGUAUUUCCUGUUAAGAAAGUACCCAACACAGUUGGGAUGGUGAAGUCGGAAUCUCAGAUGGGCGUUAAGCUUAAAUUCCGAAAAUCAUGGCCAUGAAUGGAGAGUGCACAGAGUUUCAAUUGCUAGCAAGGAGAGGUACCUUCUUUUUAGAGAGAACUUGUUUGGAAAGCUAGGAGUUGCUGGACGAUUCAGGAGUUGCUGAAAGAUGCAGGAGUGUAGGCCAGAGACUUGUCUUUCUUUUUGUUUGUGUGGGAGAACAGAACCCAACCGUGAGAAUUGGAUGACAAGGCUUCGGUUAGAUUCAUACAGCAUUGGGGAGAGGAGCUGGGUAGGUGCCGCUAGUGGUCGAAGUUCGAUUCAUACAGCAUUGGGGAGAUGAGCUGGGUAGGUGCCGCUAGUGGUCGAAGCUGGCGGGUCUACGUUCGGACAAGGUUGAAAUCUGAAAACGAUUGCAAAUA